GGUGAGAUGGCCGAGUUGGUCUAAGGCGCCAGGUUAAGGUCCUGGUCUGGGUAACCGGGCGUGGAUUCGAAUUCCACUCUCAUCA
rnacentral:tRNA from 1 species